GGCAUCUAAUCACCAAUGCAAAGAAGCAAAAUGCUAGAGGAGGAGAAGGUGGAAAUCCCCUCCUUUGCCAAAGUAAAGAGCAAAAAGCUACGAUUACGACUUAUGGCGACCCUAUGAAUCAGCGACCUCCAAGAGCAUCUGUCAUGAACCACCCUGCUCAGAUCUUUCCAUGGUACCUGCAAAGCUCUCCUCCAACACCACAUUUCAAGUGAGUUGAUUUUUCUCUUAUCCCCUUUUUUCACU